GGCGUGGUUACAGCCUAUGGACAGGGUAGGCGUAUAUGUUUGGUACUGCUGGUGGUCAUGUACCGCGGCUGGACCGGGUCCAUUCAUUUGCUCCGGCACAUACCACUCGACGUCUCUCUCAUCUGCGUGUGGUCGUCGGCGACCACGCUCCACUUUCAGCCGUGGCCAGGAGACCGGAUGCAGCCCCACCCUGUCACGACUCCUCGACCGAAGCAACGGCUGGAACGCUUGUCUUCUUCCACUCCGGCGGUCAAACCGCAAUAGAUCUGGCCCGGAAGAACAACCAAGAGGAGCACGAUCUGCGGGCGAGGCGAAGCAUCUUUUUCCACUCCGACGGGGAGAGCACCUGCAGCCAUCGUUCCUCCAGAUUUGAUCUGCAAUUUCGGGGAUGGAUCAGUGCGUAUGAUGAAGCUGUGAUGUAUCUAUUGAUGAAUCAAAUUCUCGUAGUUAUUAUGUGAUGUCUUGGAUAAUUGAUUUGUGCUUAAACACGGGAACAAUGUAUUAAAAAUGUACAUUUUCUGAUGGAUC